rnacentral:rRNA from 1 species
UACGAAGGGGGCUAGCGUUGUUCGGAAUUACUGGGCGUAAAGCGCACGUAGGCGGACUACUAAGUCAGGGGUGAAAUCCCGGGGCUCAACCCCGGAACUGCCUUUGAUACUGGUAGUCUCGAGUCCGGAAGAGGUGAGUGGAAUUCCUGGUGUAGCGGUGAAAUGCGUAGAUAUCAGGAGGAAUACCGGUGGCGAAAGCGACUCUCUGGACGGCAACUGACGCUGAGGCACGAAAGCGUGGGGAGCAAACAGG